CCUAGGCCUGAUGAAUGGAGCCUAAAGGGGAUUGCUGGAAUUUAGUUAGUGUGCAAAGGGGAGUUUUCACCAGGUGAUAGCCUUAGUGAGCUAAACAUCAGACUUGGAAGACCUAGGUGCCUUGGGACUACAAGCUCAAUUUCUGACAGGAUCAAUUUACUCUUUCAUCUUUCUAAGGAAGUAACUGAAAACUUUCCUUGCCCUUUGAAGCCCCAUGAAGUCUUUGUAUGAUCAAUAUUUUAGAUAGUGACUAUCACAAGUUCUUAUGGGCAACUGAAGGAGCAACCAG